GGACCGGUAGUUCAGUUUGGUUAGAACGCUGCCCUGUCACGGCAGAGGUCGCGAGUUCGAGUCUCGUCCGGUCCGCCA
rnacentral:tRNA from 1 species